rnacentral:rRNA from 1 species
UACGGAGGGGGCUAGCGUUGUUCGGAAUUACUGGGCGUAAAGCGCACGUAGGCGGCUUUGUAAGUUAGAGGUGAAAGCCUGGGGCUCAGCUCCAGAACUGCCUUUAAGACUGCAUCGCUUGAAUCAUGGAGAGGCGGGUGGAAUUCCGAGUGUAGAGGUGAAAUUCGUAGAUAUUCGGAAGAACACCAGUGGCGAAGGCGGCCCGCUGGACAUGUAUUGACGCUGAGGUGCGAAAGCGUGGGGAGCAAACAGG